AUUGAACGCUGGCGGCAGGCCUAACACAUGCAAGUCGAACGGAGUGGCGAACGGGUGAGUAACACGUCGGUGAACUGCCCUGUACUUCGGGAUAAGCUUGGGAAACUGGGUCUAAUACCGGAGAGUAUGUGAUGAGCUCGCGGCCUAUGAGCUUUUUGGGGGGGUAAAGGCCUACCAAGGCGUCGACGGUUAGCCGACCUGAGAGGGUGUACGGCCUCAUUGGGACUGGGAUACGGCGCAGACUCGUACGGUGGGCAGCAGUGGGGAAUAGUGCACAAUGGGCGCAAGCCUGUUGCAGCGACGCCGCGUGGGGGAUGAAGUCCUUCGGGUUGUAAACUCCUUUCGCUAGGGACGCGGUACCUGGAGAAGAAGCACCGGCUAACUACGUGCCAGCAGCCGCGGUAAUUC
rnacentral:rRNA from 1 species